rnacentral:misc_RNA from 1 species
GAUGAAGAACGCAGCGAAAUGCGAUACGUAAUGUGAAUUGCAGAAUUCAGUGAAUCAUCGAGUCUUUGAACGCACAUUGCGCCCCCUGGUAUUCCGGGGGGCAUGCCUGUCCGAGCGUCAUUGCUGCCCUCAAGCACGGCUUGUGUGUUGGGCCUCCGUCCUCCCCCGGGGGACGGGCCCGAAAGGCAGCGGCGGCACCGCGUCCGGUCCUCGAGCAUAUGGGGCUUCGUCACCCGCUCUUGUAGGCCCGGCCGGCGCUUGCCGACACAUCAAUCUUUUUUCCAGGUUGACCUCGGAUCAGGUAGGGAUACCCGCUGAACUUAAGCAUAUCAAUAAGCGGAGGA